AUCCUACGGGAGGCAGCAGUGGGGGAUAUUGCACAAUGGGGGGAACCCUGAUGCAGCGACGCCGCGUGGGUGAAGAAGCGCCUCGGCGCGUAAAGCCCUGUCAGCAGGGAAGAAAAUGACGGUACCUGAAGAAGAAGCCCCGGCUAACUACGUGCCAGCAGCCGCGGUAAUACGUAGGGGGCAAGCGUUAUCCGGAUUUACUGGGUGUAAAGGGAGCGUAGGCGGCAAGGUAAGUAAGAUGUGAAAGCCCGCAGCUUAACUGCGAGGAUUGCAUUUUAAACUAUCUAGCUUGAGUACAGGAGAGG
rnacentral:rRNA from 1 species